UNCUUCUGAGUGUUGACACUUGCUAAGAUG
rnacentral:piRNA from 1 species